rnacentral:misc_RNA from 1 species
CCUCCUUAUACGAUUUAGAACUUAUUUGUUCGUAGUGUCCACACAGAUGAUUGUUAGUUAGUUUUACCCUUUGGGUUUAACUGAUUAAUAUGCUCUUUAAAAAUUUGGAAAAGCUGAUAAUAAAAUUCGUAUGAAUAACAGUGUUAUUUGUACAGAGUUUUCAAAAGUAAAAAAGAAUGAUAGCAGUAUCAUUCAGUGCCAAUUUAAUCAUUUAUGAUUAAUUGGUAUCUACUUUAGUAUUCAAUAUUAACUUCUGGCGAAGUUAAACUGUCACAUAACAAAGACCCGUUUGGGUUGUAUGGUUAAGUGACUAAGCGUACACGGUGG